GGGGGGCGGAGCACGGCGCAUAACACCGCGCGCAGCUCCGUGCGCUGCUGAGGCCUCGCCCGUCCUUCUGGACACGCCUCUGUGCCGUCACGCACUAUUUUGUACGGGUUGCGUUAUCGGGUUGCAAUGUCAGUCCUUUCAGGCAUCCUCUUGCAUCGUAGCGUUUUGUACUGUUAGCGACACCAGCUCCCUGCGCUGCGGAUUUCGCGAGCGGGAGGCAAACCCGGAAGGGAGCGCUGAAGGGAGUGAGGCGGCGCGGGUAGCAGCGCCGUGUGAACGGGAGGUGCCGCUGUGCGGUGUGGACAGCGAGUUCUGUUUCUGAGUAGCUCUCCAGCUGCCCAUCUGCCAAGCUGUCCAGCCUUACUCCGACCCAGAUAUAGAACCCAGCAUUUACCUUUGUUUGAACUGCAUGCUGUUGAUGAUUGUCCGAUGCUCCCAUGUAUCCUGACCCCUCCACCCCCGCAAGGCUGUCAUCCCUAUAGAGUGAACAGCACCUUCCUCCUAUCAUCAGCACGCUUCCAAGGAUGGAUUCAAUUGAUACAAAGAUGAAGUAAUGCUGUCAGUGAUGCUGAUUCUUCACCCAUCCCGAGGCUUCAGCAAUGUAGCUAAGGAGCGUGUUCAAGAUGGAGUUUGACUGAGUGUGUGAUUUUUGAAAUUAGAGUGCUCAAGUGGCAGGACGCUACUUAUGAGCCCCUCCUUGCUUUUGCAUACAAGUGCUCAACUGUUAAACUUAAGAUGGACCUAGGCUGUAUUGGUUAAUAACUAGAUUCCUCAAAUCCUCCUCUACCUGUACGAGAGAUGACAACAGCAGAAGACAUUUGGUUAGUUAGUUCUGCCUGCUCAGUUUGUGGUUAAUAACAGGACUGGUGUUUGGGUUGGCACUACCUGAGUUCAAGGAAUGAGUAGCUCUGUACUUCAUAAUACUGUGGUUUCCUGGCUGUGAAGAUUGUUUUGAAGCUGCUUCUGACGUUGUGAUGAUGUGCAUCCCCUUCAACACCGCAGGGCCGCAAGGGGCGGCACUCCGCAAGCUCCACCGCAGCACGGGUAACUCUCAACUCCCCAAACCCGCCGCGGCAAACGCCAUCCCAGAUUCCCUUCCUCUCCCCAACCCGAGGUCCCGCUCCCACCAUGGCGCCUCGUUAGGCUCAGAGCUUCGACCGCACAGCACCACACCGGAACACGUCCACCGCGGAACAGUCGCAACUGCCGUCAGGUAACGGUCCGAAGCCCCCUCGCGCGCUGCUUCCCCAUUGGCUGUCACCCGGGCCAGAGGCGGACGGCAGCCGCUGAUUCGCCAGUGCGCUCUUCUGCUCACGUGGGGUGAUAACUGCCGCAUGCUCGAUUGGUGGCGGGCGUUAAGUGCUGGGGGAGCUCCCGCGCUCUGUGAGUCUGUGGAGAAAGCGGCUGAGGGCGGGGCGGUGCCCUGGGCUGAGGGGGUGCGGACGUUGUGUUUCUCCGCAAAAUAAAAGCAGUGGUUCGGGUCCAAAAUGUCAGACCUGUGGUUCUGGUCUGUGCAUGAGACGACCCCAGCACAGCCAGCUGUCGGCUGUGUCCCCACACCAACUGCUGUGCCAUGGGCUCCACGCUGUGGGUAGCAGGAGCUACACCAGCUCAGUUCAUCUCACACUGAGUCACUGCACCAGCAGGAGCUGUGGCAGUUUGACAUAUUUAAGCAACCUUACCUCAUUGGAUCUGAAACCUGAGGAGUUAUGAGUGCAGUCAGCUUCCUCGUUGUUCCAGACUGUUGCAAGGAUGAACCAAGUACAAGUGCUCCUUUCACAUAGGAAUCAUUUGUGGC